rnacentral:ncRNA from 2 species
CUCUUAUCCCGAGAGGUGGAGGGACUGGCCCAAUGAAACCCGGCAACCAUCCGGCAUGACCCCGGACAGGUGCUAAUUCCUGCAGAAGAAAUUUUCUUCUGACAGAUAAGAG